GCGACUUCCGGUCGUCUCCGUCUUAGCGGAGUCAACGAACUUUCUAGUGUUCCUGCCUACUGCACUAACUGAGCGACCAAUUGAUACCUAAGUGUAGCCGAUGUUUUGAAAUCUGUUCUGUAAGAGCCUAAGACAAAUUGCGGCUACAGAAGCUGUUUUGAAAUGCGCUUGGCUUCCAACUUCCGCAAGGGGAGGCAGCUGUUUCUUGUGUCCCUGAACUUCAGCUGGCCCCAAAACUUGAGCAAGCUCUAAAAAGCAGAACAUCUCCCACUAAACAGUUUAUUCUGAGAACUAGCCAACCACAGAAGGGAAAAUCAUAUCUCCAGUUAAAGUGCCCUGAUCAUGCCACCUGCUCAUCCUACCCCCCUUGCCCUGUUCCCAUACAAACGUCCUGCUAGCCCUGUUUACACCUUUUUUUUUUUUUUACUCCUUUUUUAAAAUUUGAUUUUUAGACAUUGGAAGAUUUCUGUGGUCUGAGGGUCUGUAAUAAGUUUUUUUUUUAAAUAAAGCUGCUCCUUACCUAAA